rnacentral:rRNA from 1 species
AUUGAACGCUGGCGGCAGGCCUAACACAUGCAAGUCGAACGAGUGGCGGACGGGUGAGUAAUGUCUGGGAAACUGCCCGCUGGAGGGGGAUAACUACUGGAAACGGUAGCUAAUACCGCAUACCAUCGGAUGUGCCCAGAUGGGUUUAGCUAGUCGGUGGGGUAACGGCUCACCUAGGCGACGAUCCCUAGCUGGUCUGAGAGGAUGACAAGCCAAACUGGAACGGAGACACGGUCCAGACUCCGACGGGAGGCAGCAGUGGGGAAUAUUGCAAAAUGGGCGAAAGAAUGAUGCAGCCAGGCAGCGUGUAUGAAGAAGGCCGUAGGGUUGUAAAGUACUUUCAGCGGGGAGGCGUUACUCGCAGAAGAAGCACCGGCUAACUCCGUGCCAGCAGCCGCGGUAAUUC